rnacentral:misc_RNA from 1 species
GAUGAAGAACGCAGCGAAAUGCGAUAAGUAAUGUGAAUUGCAGAUUUCAGUGAAUCAUCGAAUCUUUGAACGCACAUUGCGCCCGCUAGUAUUCUGGCGGGCAUGCCUGUUCGAGCGUCAUUUCAACCAUCAAGCCCUGUGCUUGUGUUGGAGCCCUGCGGCUGCCGCAGGCUCCCAAACCCAGUGGCGGGCUCGUCGUCGUACCGAGUGCAGUAAACAUACCACGCUCAGGGCACGCGACGGGUGACCGGCCGUAAAACCCCCCCCCUUCUCAAGGUUGACCUCGGAUCAGGUAGGAAUACCCGCUGAACUUAAGCAUAUCAAUAAGCGGAGGA